GCAGUGAAUAUAACUAGCUACUUGAUAUUUAUUGGGAUAAAUUGGAUGCUAGAAGGAAUCUCGACAUCAUGACCCUAUAGUUAGUGAUAAGAGAAAGUAUUGAUUGACAUCAUUGAUUUUGACAUAUGCAUUGAAGAGAUGCCGGUGAAGAAAUUAUUGUUCGAGCUAAUAAAAGAAUUCCACUAUUCAAAUGUUGAUUCCUUAAAUUAUUUAUAUAUUGACGUUACUACGAUAAUGAUGUCAUUAGCUACUAUGGUGUAUCAUGACAUCAAUAAAUUUUGCAUUAUCAAUAUGAACUUUGCAAUGAGGGGAGUAUUGAGAUUCAUUAACAAGCCC
rnacentral:lncRNA from 1 species